rnacentral:rRNA from 1 species
AACGCUGGCGCGUGCCUAACACAUGCAAGUCGAGCGGGGUUGAAGCGAGAGGUAACUCGAGCUUCUACCUAGCGGCGGACGGGUGAGUAACGCGUGGGCAACCUGCCUCAAGGUUUGGGAUAACAGCCCGAAAGGGCUGCUAAUACCGGAUAUGCCUAUGGCCUCGCAUGGGGCUAUGAGCAAAGGGGAAACCCGCCUUGAGAUGGGCCCGCGUCCCAUCAGCUAGUUGGUGAGGUAACAGCUCACCAAGGCGACGACGGGUAGCCGGCCUGAGAGGGUGACCGGCCACACUGGGACUGAGACACGGCCCAGACUCCUACGGGGGGCAGCAGUGGGGGAUCUUGCACAAUGGGCGAAAGCCUGAUGCAGCGACGCCGCGUGAGCGAAGAAGGCCUUCGGGUUGUAAAGCUCUGUCUGGAGGGACGAACAAAAUGACGGUACCUCCGGAGGAAGCCACGGCUAACUACGUG